rnacentral:rRNA from 1 species
UACGGGGGGAGCAAGCGUUGUUCGGAUUUACUGGGCGUAAAGGGCGCGUAGGCGGUAGCACAAGUCAGUUGUGAAAUCUCCGGGCUUAGCUCGGAAAGGUCAACUGAUACUGUGCGACUAGAGUGCAGAAGGGGCAACUGGAAUUCUCGGUGUAGCGGUGAAAUGCGUAGAUAUCGAGAGGAACACCUGCGGCGAAGGCGGGUUGCUGGGCUGACACUGACGCUGAGGCGCGAAAGCCAGGGGAGCGAACGGG